UACGGGGGGGGCAAGCGUUGUUCGGAAUUACUGGGCGUAAAGGGCGCGUAGGCGGUGCUCUAAGUCGGAUGUGAAAACUCUGGGCUCAACCCAGAGCCUGCAUCCGAAACUGGAGUGCUAGAGUUCUGGAGGGGGCAGUGGAAUUCCCAGUGUAGCGGUGAAAUGCGUAGAUAUUGGGAGGAACACCUGCGGCGAAGGCGGCUACCUGGACAGAAACUGACGCUGAGGCGCGAAAGCUAGGGGAGCGAACGGG
rnacentral:rRNA from 1 species